rnacentral:rRNA from 1 species
UACGAAGGGUGCAAACGUUGCUCGGAAUUAUUGGGCGUAAAGCGCACGUAGGCGGCUUAGCAAGUCGGAAGUGAAAUCCCACGGCUCAACCAUGGAAGUGCUUUCGAAACUGCUGAGCUUGAGUACGAAAGAGGAUCGCGGAAUUCCCGGUGUAGAGGUGAAAUUCGUAGAGAUCCGGAGGAACACCAGUGGCGAAGGCGACACGCUGGGCCGUACCUGACACUGAGGCGCGAUAGCAUGGGGAGCAAACAGG